UACAGAGGGUGCGAGCGUUGUUCGGAAUCACUGGGCGUAAAGCGCACGUAGGCGGCUUCUUAAGUCAGGGGUGGAAUCCUGGAGCUCAACUCCAGAACUGCCUUUGAUACUGAGGAGCUUGAGUCCGGGAGAGGUGAGUGGAACUGCGGGUGUAGAGGUGAAAUUCGUAGAUAUUCGCAAGAACACCAGUGGCGAAGGCGGCUCACUGGCCCGGUACUGACGCUGAGGUGCGAAAGCGUGGGGAGCAAACAGG
rnacentral:rRNA from 1 species